UCCGAAGUUGGGCAGAGCAAUGCUUGGAGG
rnacentral:piRNA from 1 species